AAGCAGGUUGCGAUAGUAAUCCUGCUUAGUACGAGAGGAACAGCAGGUUCAGACAUUUGGUUCAUGGACUUGACCGAUCGGUCAAUGGUCCGAAGCUACCAUCUGGGGGAUUAUGACUGUAAGUCAGAAUCCCACCUAGUCAAGGCAGCGAUAACUUUGUUUCCCGGUGUCGGGAGGCAACUCUAUCUCGUGGCAACACGAGAGCAUAUGCCCUAGUAAAUGACCUUGCCGGUAUGGAUAAUCCCUGCUGGUUGUCAAAGCCAGAUCACUCUGGUUCAAUGUCGGGGCGCAAAAUCACAUGUUUACGACAUGUAUACUGGUCAAGGUGUUGUAUCCAGUAGAGCAGUGUUUGUAUACUGCGAUCUGUUGAGACUAUCCUUUGAUCGGGUGUUUU
rfam:Heligmosomoides polygyrus genome assembly, scaffold: HPBE_scaffold0000088